CCUACGGGAGGCAGCAGUGGGGAAUAUUGCACAAUGGGCGAAAGCCUGAUCCAGCAACGCCGCGUGAAGGAAGAAGGGUUUCGGCUUGUAAACUUCUUUCUACAGGGACGAAAGAAAUGACGGUACCUGAAUAAGAAUCCCCGGCUAACUACGUGCAAGCAGCCGCGGUAAUACGUAGGGGGCAAGCGUUAUCCGGAUUUACUGGGUGUAAAGGGUGAGUAGGCGGGAUGGUAAGCCAGAUGUGAAAUCCAUGGGCUUAACCCGAGUAUUGAAUUUGAAACUAUCAGGCUAGAGUACAGGAGAGGAAAGCGGAAUUCCUAGUGUAGCGGUGAAAUGCGUAGAUAUUAGGAAGAACACCAGUGGCGAAGGCGGCUUUCUGGACUGCAACUGACGCUGAGGCACGAAAGCGUGGGUAGCAAACAGGAUUAGAUACCCCAGUAGUC
rnacentral:rRNA from 1 species